UACGUAGGGUGCAAGCGUUGUCCGGAAUUAUUGGGCGUAAAGAGCUCGUAGGCGGUUUGUCGCGUCUGUCGUGAAAGCCCACGGCUUAACCGUGGGUCUGCGGUGGAUACGGGCAGACUAGAGGCAGGUAGGGGAGAAUGGAAUUCCCGGUGUAGCGGUGAAAUGCGUAGAUAUCUGGAGGAAUACCGGUGGCGAAGGCGGCAUCCUGGACCGACAUUGACGCUGAGGAGCGAAAGCCAGGGGAGCAAACGGG
rnacentral:rRNA from 1 species